rnacentral:rRNA from 1 species
UACGAAGGGGGCGAGCGUUGUUCGGAUUUACUGGGCGUAAAGGGCGCGCAGGCGGCUAUCCAAGUCAGGCGUGAAAGCCCCGGGCUUAACCUGGGAGGUGCGUCUGGGACUGGGUGGCUAGAGAUCGGGAGAGGAGAGUGGAAUUCCCAGUGUAGAGGUGAAAUUCGUAGAUAUUGGGAAGAACACCGGUGGCGAAGGCGGCUCUCUGGACCGAUACUGACGCUGAGGCGCGAAAGCUAGGGGAGCAAACAGG